rnacentral:lncRNA from 1 species
AGAGACCAGAGAGCCAGUCCAACCCAGUCCAUCACCUGGAGGCUGGAGAACCACGAGGCUGUUGCCUGUUCGUCCCCCUCUUCUGAGAGGUCCAGGAGACCUGAAGGCUGCUUCCGCUAACCCGGGCUGGCGCUGCUAACCUCACCCAAAGAUCCCUGCUGUCGGAAAAUGUCCAGAGGCACCAUCCCUGCUAUGAAGAGGGAAUGCCAGUACAACAGCCACAAGGGGUCUUCCUGUGGCCCUCAAACAAAAAAUCACUGCAUUACAUCAGCAGACUGCAUUGGAGAGAAAGGCGCCGGGACAGAAAAGCCUGAGAUAAACCACCUAUCAUUCUUGGAGAAAAGGAUGCUGCGGCUUUCCCGAUUUGGUUGAUGAGAUGGAAAAUCAACCCUUACAGGAAGGACAUCACCAAUUCCGGAAAGGAUGCUGCGCCAGUCACGUUUCCGCACUUUGUGAGACGCUGAAAUCUCCAGAAGAUGCCCAAGGUUUUCAAGCUGAACACAGGAGAAAUGACUCUGGAUCUCUGAGGACUGUUUUCCUCAAUAAGGAGCUGCAAUCUUGGCUCCACCACCCUCCCUCCAAAACAUCUCGUGUGUCUGGUAUCUGGUUAUAUUGUGGCCUGACAGAGAAGUUUCUUUCGGGGCCAGUGAAUUUAAAAAAAAAAAAAGAAAAAGAAAAGCAGGUCCUACCAACUCAUUAAUACUUUAAUACUUUAAAUUUCCCUCUUUAUAGUAGGUUGAAAUGUCAGUAUCUCUUAAGAACAAUGGCUGAACCAAAUGUUUCCUCAAAACUCACAUUUUUUCCCACCAUUUCAGAAGCUGCCUCACGACUAAGCUUUGAUUUUUUUUUUUUUUAAUCUGGCCCAAAUUCCUAUCUAAGGGGCCUGGGGAGUCAUGCCCAACAAACCAUAAAUUCUCAUCAGAUGAGUUUUAUUUAACCCUAUAUAUGGUGACUUGCUUUCCAGUCUGACUCUGGCACGACAUGUGACAAAGAAGAAAG